rnacentral:lncRNA from 1 species
CAGGAGUGGUGCUAAUAUUCGUUGUAACCAAGAGUGGUGAGAAUACUCUAUGAGAUCUUGGAGAGGCAAAACUAAUGUAAGUUUGAAAAGAUUAAUGGAAUCCCUUAAGAACUUUUAAGGGAGAAUCGAAGCUUAGGUUGAGUGAACUAGUAUAAAUAUAUGUGGUUUACUGAUUUCAUAUCGAAAAUGCUUUCCAUUUACCAUUUCAUUAAAAACUAGUGUCUAAUAAAUUUUACAAUUCUUAUACAUUAUCUUUACAAGUCAUUAGAUUCUGCUUUGCAAAAAGAAUUUCAAAAACACCAUUCACCCUCUCCCCAACCACCCCUCCCCCCU